rnacentral:rRNA from 1 species
AGAGUGAACGCUGGCGGCAGGCCUAACACAUGCAAGUCGAACGGGUAUCUUCGGAUACUAGUGGCGGACGGGUGAGUAACGCGUGGGAACAUACCCUUUGGUACGGAAUAGCCUCGGGAAACUGGGAGUAAUACCGUAUGUGCCCUUCGGGGGAAAGAUUUAUCGCCAAAGGAUUGGCCCGCGUUGGAUUAGGUAGUUGGUAGGGUAAUGGCCUACCAAGCCGACGAUCCAUAGCUGGUUUGAGAGGAUGAUCAGCCACACUGGGACUGAGACACGGCCCAGACUCCUACGGGAGGCAGCAGUGGGGAAUCUUAGACAAUGGGCGCAAGCCUGAUCUAGCCAUGCCGCGUGAUCGAUGAAGGCCUUAGGGUUGUAAAGAUCUUUCAGAUGGGAAGAUAAUGACGGUACCAUCAGAAGAAGCCCCGGCUAACUCCGUGCCAGCAGCCGC